GAGACAGCAGUCGCCACGGGAAUACGGAGGGUGCAAGCGUUAAUCGGAAUUACUGGGCGUAAAGCGCACGCAGGCGGUCUGUCAAGUCAGAUGUGAAAUCCCCGAGCUUAACCUAGGAACUGCAUUUGAAACUGGCAGGCUAGAGUCUUGUAGAGGGUGGUAGAAUUCCAGGUGUAGCGGUGAAAUGCGUAGAGAUCUGGAGGAAUACAGGUGGCGAAGGCGGCCAUCUGGACAAAGACUGACGCUCAGGUGCGAAAGCAUGGGGAGCAAACAGGAUUAGAUACCCGAGUAGUCCCUGUCUCUUAUAC
rnacentral:rRNA from 1 species